rnacentral:rRNA from 1 species
GAUGAACGCUGGCGGCGUGCCUAAUACAUGCAAGUCGAGCGAACAGACGAUGAGCUUGCUCCUCUGAUGUUAGCGGCGGACGGGUGAGUAACACGUGGAUAACCUACCUAUAAGACUGGGAUAACUUCGGGAAACCGGAGCUAAUACCGGAUAACAUGUUGAACCGCAUGGUUCAACAGUGAAAGACGGUCUUGCUGUCACUUAUAGAUGGAUCCGCGCCGCAUUAGCUAGUUGGUAAGGUAACGGCUUACCAAGGCAACGAUGCGUAGCCGACCUGAGAGGGUGUUCGGCCAAACUGAACCGGAAACACGGUCCAGACUCCAACGGGAGGCAGCAGAGGGAAAUCUUCCGCAAGGGGGGAAGCCCUACCGGGGCAACGCGGCGUGGGUGAAGAAGUUCUUCGGUUCGAAAACCUCUGUUUUAAGGAAAAACCAAUUGGUAAGGUAACUAUGCACUUCUGAAGGUAACCAAUCAGAAAGCCACGGCUAACUACGUG